GACUCCAUGGCCCAAUGGAUAAGGUGCUGGUCUACGGAACCAGAGAUUCUGGGUUCGAUCCCCCCAGUGGAGUCG